rnacentral:rRNA from 1 species
GCUCAGGACGAACGCUGGCGGCAUGCCUAAUACAUGCAAGUCGAACGCUUCUUUCCUAUUGAGUGCUUGCACUCGACUGGAAAGAGGAGUGGCGGACGGGUGAGUAACACGUGGGUAACCUGCCCAUAAGUGGGGGAUAACAUUCGGAAACGGAUGCUAAUACCGCAUAAUUCUGAUUGCCGCAUGGCAGACAGAUGAAAGGUGGCUUCGGCUACCGCUUAUGGAUGGACCCGCGGCGUAUUAGCUAGUUGGUGAGGUAAUGGCUCACCAAGGCAAUGAUACGUAGCCGACCUGAGAGGGUGAUCGGCCACACUGGGACUGAGACACGGCCCAGACUCCUACGGGAGGCAGCAGUAGGGAAUCUUCCGCAAUGGACGAAAGUCUGACGGAGCAAUGCCGCGUGAGUGAAGAAGGUUUUCGGAUCGUAAAACUCUGUUGUUAGAGAAGAACAAGGAUGAGAGUAACUGCUCAUCCCCUGACGGUAUCUAACCAG